AGCAGAUACAGUUCUUUGGAUCUUCCUCUUCUUGACCUCAGGAAGUCCAGCAGCCAGGGUUUGCUUAAGCAGCUGUGGAUCAUUAUUAUCUAGUUUAAUCAGAAACAAAAAAGUGAUGGGAGUUUCGUGAAUAGGCCAAAAAGGAACACGUACGGGAAGGGGGGCGUGCGUGCCUGUUUCCGAGCCCUGGAUCGGGCCGCCGACUCGCGAUUCUUCAUCAUUCGUUUCUUGCGGGGGUCGACGGCGACAGCGUUCCCGGCGCCGCCAUCGGUGUUAGCGGCGGCGGCGGCGGCAGAAACGGCGGCGGCGGUCGAAGCGGCUGCUGCGGCGACGGC